rnacentral:rRNA from 1 species
UACGUAGGGACCAAGCGUUGUCCGGAAUCAUUGGGCGUAAAGCGCGCGUAGGUGGCCAUUUAAGUCCGCUGUGAAAGUCAGAGGCUCAACCUUUGAAAGCCGGUGGAUACUGGAUGGCUAGAGUACGGAAGAGGCGAGUGGAAUUCCCGGUGUAGCGGUGAAAUGCGCAGAUAUCGGGAGGAACACCAAUGGCGAAGGCAGCUCGCUGGGACGGUACUGACGCUGAGACGCGAAAGCGUGGGGAGCAAACAGG